rnacentral:rRNA from 1 species
AUUGAACGCUGGCGGCAUGCCUUACACAUGCAAGUCGAACGGUAACAGGUCUUCGGAUGCCGACGAGUGGCGAACGGGUGAGUAAUACAUCGGAACGUGCCCGAGAGUGGGGGAUAACGAAGCGAAAGCUUUGCUAAUACCGCAUACGAUCUCAGGAUGAAAGCAGGGGACCGCAAGGCCUUGCGCUCACGGAGCGGCCGAUGGCAGAUUAGGUAGUUGGUGGGAUAAAAGCUUACCAAGCCGACGAUCUGUAGCUGGUCUGAGAGGACGACCAGCCACACUGGGACUGAGACACGGCCCAGACUCCUACGGGAGGCAGCAGUGGGGAAUUUUGGACAAUGGGCGCAAGCCUGAUCCAGCCAUGCCGCGUGCAGGAUGAAGGCCUUCGGGUUGUAAACUGCUUUUGUACGGAAAGAAAUCGCACGGGAUAACACCCCGUGUGGAUGACGGUACCUGCAGAAUAAGCACCGGCUAACUACGUGCCAGCCGCCGCGGUAAUAC